rnacentral:rRNA from 1 species
GACGAACGCUGGCGGCGUGCCUAAUACAUGCAAGUAGAACGCUGAAGGAGGAGCUUGCUUCUCUGGAUGUGUUGCGAACGGGUGAGUAACGCGUAGGUAACCUGCCUGGUAGCGGGGGAUAACUAUUGGAAACGAUAGCUAAUACCGCAUAACAGUAGAUAUCGCAUGAUAUCUACUUGAAAGGUGCAAUUGCAUCACUACCAGAUGGACCUGCGUUGUAUUAGCUAGUUGGUGAGGUAACGGCUCACCAAGGCGACGAUACAUAGCCGACCUGAGAGGGUGAUCGGCCACACUGGGACUGAGACACGGCCCAGACUCCUACGGGAGGCAGCAGUAGGGAAUCUUCGGCAAUGGACGGAAGUCUGACCGAGCAACGCCGCGUGAGUGAAGAAGGUUUUCGGAUCGUAAAGCUCUGUUGUAAGAGAAGAACGAGUGUGAGAGUGGAAAGUUCACACUGUGACGGUAUCUUACCAGAAAGGGACGGCUAACUACGUG